rnacentral:rRNA from 1 species
AACGAACGCUGGCGGCAGGCUUAACACAUGCAAGUCGAACGCCCCGCAAGGGGAGUGGCAGACGGGUGAGUAACGCGUGGGAAUCUACCGUACCCUACGGAACAACUCCGGGAAACUGGAGCUAAUACCGUAUACGCCCUACGGGGGAAAGAUUUAUCGGGGUAUGAUGAGCCCGCGUUGGAUUAGCUAGUUGGUGGGGUAAAGGCCUACCAAGGCGACGAUCCAUAGCUGGUCUGAGAGGAUGAUCAGCCACAUUGGGACUAAGACACGGCCCAAACUCCUACGGGAGGCAGCAGUGGGGAAUAUUGGACAAUGGGCGCAAGCCUGAUCCAGCCAUGCCGCGUGAGUGAUAAAGGUCUUAGGAUUGUAAAGCUCUCUCACCGAUGAAGAUAAUGACGGUAGUCGGAGAAGAAGCCCCGGCUAACUUCGUGCCAGCCGCCGCGGUAA